rnacentral:rRNA from 1 species
CUGGGGUGAAGUCGUAACAAGGUACCCGUAUCGGAUGGAGCGGCUGGAUCGCCUCCUUUCUAAGGAGAAUU